AUUGAACGCUGGCGGCAGGCCUAACACAUGCAAGUCGAGCGAGCGGCGGACGGGUGAGUAAUGUAUGGGGACUGCCCGAUAGAGGGGGAUAACUACUGGAAACGGUAGCUAAUACCGCAUACUAUCGGAUAACCCAUAUGGGAUUGGCUAGUAGGGGGGGUAAAGGCUGACCUAGGCGACGAUCUCUGGCUGGUCUGAGAGGAUGAUCGGCCACACUGGGACAGAGACACGGCCCAGACUCCUACGGAGGAAGCAGUGGGGAAUAUUGCACAAUGGGCGCAAGCCUGAUGGAGCCAUGCCGCGUGUAUGAAGAAGGCCUUAGGGUUGUAAAGUACUUUCAGCGGGGAGGCGUUACCCGCAGAAGAAGCACCGGCUAACUCCGUGCCAGCCGCCGCGGUAAUAC
rnacentral:rRNA from 1 species